rnacentral:rRNA from 1 species
GAUGAACGCUAGCGGCAGGCCUAAUACAUGCAAGUCAAGGGGCCAGUAAUGGCACCGGCGGACGGGUGCGUAACGCGUACACAACGUACCUUUGGGUGGGGGAUAGCAUCGGGAAACUGGUGGUAAUACCCCAUGGUAUUGGAGACUGGCAUCAGUUUUCAAUUAAAGACUACGCCCAAAGAUCGGUGUGCGUCUGAUUAGCUAGUUGGUAGGGUAACGGCCUACCAAGGCGACGAUCAGUAGGGGGAUGUGAGAGCAUGAUCCCCCACACGGGUACUGAGACACGGACCCGACUCCUACGGGAGGCAGCAGUGGGGAAUUUUCCGCAAUGGGCGAAAGCCUGACGGAGCAAUACCGCGUGAGGGAAGAAUGCCUAUGGGUUGUAAACCUCUUUUUUCAGGGAGGAAAAGGUUUCUAUUAAUACUAGGAGCUCAUGACGGUACCGUAAGAAUAAGCACCGGCUAACUACGUG